UACAGAGGGUGCGAGCGUUAAUCGGAAUUACUGGGCGUAAAGCGUGCGUAGACGGUUAUGUAAGUCAGAUGUGAAAGCCCCGGGCUCAACCUGGGAAUUGCAUUUGAGACUGCAUAGCUAGGGUGCGGAAGAGGGAAGCGGAAUUUCCGGUGUAGCGGUGAAAUGCGUAGAUAUCGGAAGGAACACCAGUGGCGAAAGCGGCUUCCUGGUCCAGCACCGACGUUGAGGCACGAAAGCGUGGGGAGCAAACAGG
rnacentral:rRNA from 1 species